rnacentral:rRNA from 1 species
CACACCGCCCGUCAAACCACGAAAGUUGCAUAAGCCAGAAGCAGGUGGGCUAACCGCAAGGGGGCAGCCUGCCAAGGCUUGUGUGAUGAUUGGGGUU